CAAGGUAAGGUUAUCUUAUCCAUUUUGACUUUCGCCCACAAUGGAUUAUUAAAAUCUAAACUUGGGAAAAUGAGAAAGAAGAAACAGAAAUGUCAAUCAAAAUAGCUGAAUUGCCUUCACCCCAUCUUCAAACUAAGAAGAAGAAAGCUUUGAUCGUGAUUGAUGCCUUCCUUCAACCUCAUUUCCUCUGUGCUUUUGUUUUUUUACAUCUUUGAUCUCGCAGCCGAAGCCAACCCAAGUUUCUUAUACAAGUUCUGUUAUGACAAAGAUACCACUUUUACNNNNNNNNNNNNNNNNNNNNNNNNNNNNNNNNNNNNNNNNNNNNNNNNNNNNNNNNNNNNNNNNNNNNNNNNNNNNNNNNNNNNNNNNNNNNNNNNNNNNGGUGUCUGAUGUGUAAUCACACGAACCCAUCUUUAAAACAUUUAAACUGUUGCAAACCUGAAUUUGGGAAUUAAUAGCAUAUCCAACUUCGAUCCGGCUCGACAUAAGUUGAAUUUUUAAUUUUUAAAUUUUUUAUAAAAUUGUGAUUAAUUAAUUUUUUUUAAAAUGAAAGAUUUUGGCCCAAAUUGUUAUUAGAUUUGCUUAAUGAUUUAUCUCUGAAGUUGUGUGCUAAUGUAUAUUUAGACACAUUUGAUUACAAUACACAAGAAAAAAGAGGGAAGAAAGGUCCCUUUAAUAAAUUAUUAAACUGAGAAGAUUAAAAAUGGAGAAGGGUAAAAUGAGACUAAUAUAGAGGUGGUAGAAUGAGACUACUAGUGAUAAAUUUUAGAGAUUUUUAAUUCAAUUAAUAUUAAAUAUGUUUAAAGGGUAAUUUCAUAAAUAUCUUGGGGCAAUUUCAUUCUAAACCUGACAGGACUGUUUUAAAAAAUUAACACUCCAUGCCCUGACCCCAAAUUCAAUAAAAAAACUGACCUUAUUGGGUCAGAUUGGCUUGGAACUCGUCGUAUUUGGGGUUUUUUGUCAUCCCUACAACUAACUAAUGUAAGAUAUUAAAAAAAAACGAGUACUUCUUUCAAGUCCCUCGCAAAAAACUCUAAAAAGCUGGGAUAAAGCACAAAAAUAAUAAUAAGAUCCAAAAGAAAAUAAAGGCAUUAAAAAUAUUAUUUGAUCAGGUAGUAAUGUAGCCAAUUAUUCCAGAUAUGUUCCAAAUCAAUUGGUUAGUCCAAUGUGAAGCCUAAAUUAUAGUUAAAAAAAAUUGUUGCAAGUGACUUGAAAGAGAUACUCUUUUUCUUAUUUUUCUUAUUUUAUUACCUCACAUGGGUUAGUCGAUAGAUUAUAAAUGGCUAAAAAUGAUUUUUUAAAAAAAAUAUUUUUUAAAGUUUUUAGAGUUAGGACAAAAAUGAUAGUUUGUAAAUGUUGACGAUCAAAUUUAUUAUUUUUUUAGAAUUAGAACUAAAAUGACAAAUUUUGUAAAUAUUGAGGGCUAAAUUUGUUGACUUUUUUUAUAUUUAUGAUCAAAUUAAUAGAAUGUGUAAACAUGAGGGGGCUACUGUUUUAUAUUUAGGAUCAAAUUGAUAGAAUGUGUAAAUAUUAUAGGGCUAAUUUUGUUACUAGAUCAAUAAAAAAACUCACAUAAGCUCAUAGUGACUCAAAUAUUUAAUUUUAAAAAGUUUAGUGACUAAAUCGAAAAAAUUAAUAGUUGGGUGACCAAAAUAGAACAAAAGGCAUAGUUGGUGGCCCUUUUUAUAGUUUACUCAUAAAAAAUAAUUUUUAGCAUGUUCCAUGUUAAAUAUUUAACGGAUGAGCUAAUUUGCAUGUUUCGAAAUGUAUAAAAGUUAAUUUAUCGUUUUUCAAUAGAGAGAUUGAAAUGUAAUCCACACCUAAAUAUAGGGACUUCCCUAAUAUUUUUACCGAAGAAAUUGAUGCAUAAGAAAAUUCAAAUACAUCAAUAUCUUAUAUAAAAUAUCCGUGCUCUAAUUAUUUGAUUAAUUAUUAUUUUAUAAGCACAUAAAAAUAUAAUAUUAGUUUUGUCGAAACAAUUUUUUGAAAACAAAAAUUUAGUUGUCGACUUAAAAAAAAACAAAAAUUGGAGUCGCCACCGAUCCUUUAUUGAGGUGUGAUCGGCUCACCUUAAAAACGAUUCUGGUCUGCGAAUUUUAAGAAAAUAGGUUCGGGAGUCAGUUACGUACGAGGAAGGGGUAGCACCCUCGUAACGCCCAAAAUCGAUACCAAAUUGAUUAUUUGAUCUCUUAGUGUCGAGGGUUAAAAAGAUUUAAAAAAAAAAAACUCAAAUGAUGAAAUGUAAAAAGGAUAAUCAAUUGUUUAAGUCAGAUGAAAAAAUCGAGACCCAAUACAUUAGGGUACAAUUUCUCAAAAUCCCCAAACUUUGAAUAUCGCUUUGAUUUUAUAAGAAAAUCUUCAUUUCGAGAAAGCAAUAUGUCAUGCCCAAUACAUUAGGACACAACAAGUUAAGUUCCCGAAAAUGAUUUUAUACAUAUGCAUUUUGAAUAAAGAAUAUUCUCAAUUACUUAGGAUUAACAAAGAAAAUCGGAACCCAAUACGCUAGGGCUCAAUUUUCUCGAAAAUCCCGAAUAUCGAAUAUUGCAUUAUUUUAAAAACUUUUGAAUCAAAAGAAAAUGAUUUUAAUGUUUUGAAGAAACCAAAUACAUUUUCUUUUUUUGAAAAAAAUGAUAAAAUGUUAAUAUACAACAUGAAACAAAUACUUUAAUUUAAAUUAUACAUGUAUAUGUAUAAGUAUAUACAUAUGUAAAAACAUGAAAUACACCAAACAAAAACAACAAAAAAAACUUAUAAUAAUUCUAAAAAAGGUACGUAUAUGUAUAUUAUAGAAAAUGCAUGUAUAUAUGUGCAUGGAUUAUGAAAUAUAAAAGAUGUAUAUGUAUUAUAAAAUAAAAAAAGGAAAAAAAGUAUAAUAUAUUAAUAAAUUAUGAAAUUAUGAAAAUAUGUAUAUAUAUAUAAAAAUGUGGAAAAUAUAUUUACAAUAAUUUCGAAUAGUAUAUGUAUAUAUAUUAUAAAAAAUGUAUAUAUAUAUGAAUUAUAAAAUAUGGAAAAUGUAUAAAUAUUAUAAAAUAUAAAUGUAUAUACAUAUAUAUGCGUAUAAAAACUAUGAAAAUAAAAUAAUAAUAAAAUAUGUAUAUGUAUUUAAAAAACAUUUAAAAUAUAUACAUAUAUAUUAUAAAAUACAUAUGCGUGUAUAUAUGUAGGUAUAAUAAUAAUAUAUAAUAUAAUAAUAAUUAAUACAAUAAGAGUGUAAAAAUAAUUAAUUUAAUAAUAAAUAACUAAUAACAAAUAGAGGACUAAAUUGAAACAAAAGUAAAACAUGUGGUUAAAUUCAAAAGAAAUAAAAAAUGUUUAAACACAUUUUGAAAAACAAGGGGGAUCAAAUGCGCAAAUAGACCAUCAGAGGAAAAUACAGGCUCCAAACGGUAAGCUUUGUAUGCUACAUAAAGGUCACUUAAAACCUAAACUAAAAAACCUUAGUUAUUUCUCUCCUGUGUGCGCCGUUUCUUCCCAAAACCCCUCCUUUUUCCUUUAUUUCGCACAGAACAAGGAAGGGCUUCGAGAGCACAUCACCCAGGUAUGCUUUCCCUUUUAAUUAUCUUUGAUUUGCGAAGAAAAGAACAAAGGAAAACAAAAGAAAAAGGAAAGAAAUCGAGGGAAAAAAAAAGAAAAACCUUCAAAUUGCUUUUUAAUUCUCUAUUUUUUAAUAGGUUUUGAUAUCAUCCCCCCUCCCACAAUACAAUUUUUCUCUAGUUUUUAUAGUCAGAAUUACAGCAAAACAAAAGUGAUAAAAAAAUCCUAUUCCGUUAUUUGCUGCGUCUAUUGCUGUUUGGAUCUACUUUUCUCACAGGUAUGGAGGUUGUGGAAGAGGCGCACGUGUGCGGAGAAUGCGGCGGCAAUUAGGGUGUGAGGCACUGGAAGUUGUUUGCUGUUAGGGUUUCUGCAAUCGGGUUGGGAUUUGGGCUGUAAUGGGUUUGUAAUUUGGGCUUGGUGUUGGGUAAUGUAAUUAGGUAAUGGGUUAAUAAUUAGGUUUGUGAUAUUGAGGCUUAGUGGUUUGAUGUAUUUUGGGUUUGGGUAAAUUAAUUGGGCCUACUGUUGUAAUAAAGUGGACAUUUAUUUGGUUUAUUUUAUUUCAUUUUAAUUCUAUGAUUUUGGGCCCAGGCUAAAAUUGGGUAUUACAGCAGCCUCUCUUUGUUCGUUGUCGUGUAACGGGAACGGAGCAAAGACUCUAAAAAUAGCCAAUUUUGUCCGGUCGUGUUGGACAUUGCUGCUCUUCUUCAAGUAGCCUCAUUCCAACCUAUUACAUUCUCAGAGGUAUAAGAAUUGGUGCUUCGGUCCAGUCUACUACAAUGCCAGUAAGAUACUUCAAUCUGCCCCAUUGCAACUUCAAAGAUAUAAGAUCCAUCACUUUAAUUCGCUUCAUGGAAACAAGAUUCGGUACCUUUAGCUUUAAUCUAUUCUAUUGUAAUGCCAAGGAGAUAGGAUUCGCUGCCUUCGAUCUGCUCCACUGCUGCUUAAGGAGACAGGAUCUACAAUCUUCAACCUACUUCACUACUGCUCAGGGAGAAGGGAUUGAUGGCUUAAAUAUGCUUCCCUACUACCUUGGGAAGAUAGGAUUUGCCAUCUUCGAUCUGCUCCACUAUUGCUACAAUCUUCAACCUACUCCACUACUGCUUAGGGAGAUAGGAUUGGUGGCUUAAAUUUGCUUCCCUAAUACCUUGGGAAGAUAAGAUUCGUCGUCUUCGAUCUGCCCCACUACUGCAGAAUCUACAAACUUUGACCUACUCCACUGCUGCUCAGGGAGAUAGGACUGGUGUCUUCGAUCUACUUCGCUGCCAGCACAAGAAGACAAGAUUUGCUAUCUUUGAUCUACUUCGCUGCUCCACUGCUACUCAGGGAGAUAAGACUGCCACAUUUGAUCUACUUCGCUGCCAAUAUAGGAAGACAAGAUCUGCUAUCUUUGAUCUACUUCGCUGCCAAUACAGGAAGAUUAGAUCUAUUAUCUUCGAUCUACUACACUACCAAUAUAUGAAGACAAGAUCUACUAUCUUUGAUCUACUUCACUGCCAAUACAGGAAGACAAGAUCUGCUAUUUUCAACCUGCUCCACUGCUGCUCAGGGAGAUAAGGCUUUAUCUUAAAUCUGCUUCUCUACUACCUUUGGAAGAUAAGAUUCACCGUCUUCGAUCUGCUCCACUAUUGCUUAGGGAGACACGAUCUACUAUCUUCAGUCUGCUUAACUGUGAUGUCGGGGAAGUAAGAUUCGGUGUUGUAGUUUCAAUCUGUUCCACUACACCACUAGGGAAGUAAGAUUUGCUAUUCUCAGUUUGCCCCACUGCAACUUCAGGGGAAUAAGACUUGCUUUCUCAGUCUGCUCUGCUAUAACCUCAGGGAGAUAAGACCUAAUGCGAUCCAUUCUAGUUCAACUGCUUCGCUACAACCCAGGGGGGCAAGGUUGGUGUCUUCGAUCUGCUUCGCUGUCGGUGCAAGAAGGCAAGAUCUGCUAUUUUUAACCUGCUUCGCUGCAACUCAGGGAGGCAAGGCUAGUGUCUUCAAUCUGCUUCACUGUCAGUACAGGAAGGUAAGAUCUACUAUCUUUAACCUGUCCUGCUGCAACCGAGAGAGGCAAGGCUAGUGUCUUCGAUCUACUCCACUACUGCUUAGGGAGAUAACAUCUGUAAUUUUCAACCUACUCCGCUGCUACUCAGGGAAAUAAGGCUGGGGACUUCGAUCUGCUCCACUACUGCUUAGGGAGAUAAGAUCUGUAAUUCUCAGCCUACUCCACUACUACUCAAGGAGAUAGGAUUCACGAUCUUCCACUUAUUCCACUGUUGACCAGGGAGAUAACAUUCGUAAUCUUCAACUUAUUCCACUAUUGACCAGGGAGAUAAGAUUCGUAAUCUUCAACCUAUUCCACUGCUACCCAGGGAGAUAGGACUUGCAAUCUUCAACCUAUUCUACUGCUGCUCAGGGAGAUAAGUCUUGUAAUCUUCAACCUAUUCCACUACUGUCUAGGGAGAUAGGACUCACAAUCUUCAACCUAUUUCGCUGCUAUCCAGGGAGAUAGGAUUCACAAUCUUCAACCUAUGUCGCUAUUGUCCAAGGAGAUAGGAUUCACAAUCUUCGAUCUAUUUCACCGUCAGUACAGGAAUGCAAGAUCUGCUAUUUUCAACCUGCUCUGCUACAAUGCAGGGAGGCAAGGCUUUGAGGUUUCACCGAUCUGUUCUCUAGGGAACAUGACCUGUAUAACGAACCUAAUUAUGCCUAAGAUUAGGACAGCAUGAUCAAAGUGCAUCAAAUGCUCCUAACUAGACAUGUGUGAAUGGUGUUUGCAUGAAUGUAGAAUGCUAUUUUUGAGGAUGAUCCUUUUUUAUUGCUUAGGUUAUCAUUGCUCGAAUUUUAUUAAGGCUUUAUCACUGACGUGCUACAACACCUUCCUACUGGCUGGCGUCUCCAAAGAAAUACUUAGUCAGAUUGCCCCCACUGUAAACCUCAAACUUCAAUCCACUGGGACGCAAAAUUUGUACCGUAAUUCUCCCACUGCAAACCGAGGGUAAAAACAUAUGGCUUUUUCUCAAUCCUCUCAUAUCACAAUUCAAGGAUACAUGAUCUAAAUCUCUCUGGUCCUUUACACCAUUCCCCGGGUGUCGUACCAAAGGCUCAUGUAUAAAUAAAGGCUAUGUUCUCUGAGGAAACCUCUUCGUAUUGCCUGGUGAUCAUUGCUUGCUUGUUUAUUUAAGUUCUUACAUCAACACAACAUCUUGUCAUUUUGUUCAAUCAAUGUUUUUAACAACAAAAUCCAAAGAGAAAGUCCUAAUUUAGACUCUUCCUUUUCAGAUUUCCAACCUUUAAACCUGGUGCAUUCUAAAUAAUAGUCCUAUUUCAGGCUCCUGUAUUAUUUAGAAACUUCUAGAGUAAUAUGAAAAACUUCCCUUGUGAAAGUUUUAUUAGUCCAUUAAUCAUUAUUCUAAUGCAACAUGCUUGCAAAAAAAACAAAACGAUGGAUAAAAUAGAGCUAGUUCUGAGCAUAGCUUGAAAUGAAUAAAUUAUCAAAGAUAGUAAAGAAGGAUAACAAAAAAAUUAAUUGGGAAUGCGUAUCUUGGAAAUGAAUGAAGUGUUCAAAGAAUAGCAAAUUUAGUAUAAAUAGUAUGAAUAUUGGGUGCCCCAGAUAUCGCAGCUUGAACUUCUCUGUACAAACUUUUUGAAGAUCCUUCUGAGUUUGAUAUGUGUUUAGGAGAUCUACAGUACUCUGCCAAUGCCCCAAGAUGUUGCCUACCCUUUCCUGAUGAUUUAGGUAUAACAAGAUCACCACAUGCCCCAAUCUGGUUAAAAUUCAAGUUGCUCUAAUCACCUCGUGCCCCAUUCUGUCCAAUAUUUGAGCCGCCCUUUUCGGGUUUUCAACUCAAAUCCCCUUUGGUCUCAAGGCGCUCUUUGCGGAUUUUCACCUUGGCCUCUCUAUUUUUCUUUUCUUUUCCUUUUCCUUUUUCUUUUUUAUCACUUUCAUUAACCCGAUUAGCGUGAAAGACAGUACUUAGAAUAAUCCGCCGCAGCCGCUCUCUCGACCAACUCUGGUGCUUCUUCGAUCCAGAACCAUUCCUCUAAUAAGUAGCAUCCCUCCCUUGCCAACACAUGGGUUGCCUCAUUUGCAUCUCUCCUCACAUGGUGAAAGGUGACAUAAACAAACAAACCCAUAUUUUGUUUUAUGUCUAUAAUGAUUGGGCCAAGAACUGACUUGUCUGAUGUGUCUAAUUGCAGUUUUUUGAUAAUUGCAAGAGAGUCCCCUUCAAUCUGAAUAUGCUGGAACCCAAGCUCCCUCGCAAACCAAAUUGCCGAUUCACAUGCCCGAGCUCUGCCACAAACGCAUCUACAACAUGAGAGUAAGGGUAAGUACAAGCCCCCAUUAUCAAACACACUUUGUUUCGUAUAAUAACUCCUAAAAAUGAUUUGCUUCCAUGCACAUUAAAAGAGGAGUUGAAAUUAAUUUUCACAGUGCCCUGUUGUGGUGGCCUCCAGUAACUAGUCUUAGGCAUACAAACAAGGGGGCUCUCAUCUGAAAUGGAUUCCAAUUCUUUAAUAUACCCUGCAAUAAACCCUGAUAUAUCUUGAAUUGAAAUGGAUUCCAAUUCUUUAAUACACCCUGCAAUAAACCCUAAUAUAUCUUGAAUUGAUUGUUUGAUACCAUCAUACACCAAUUGAUUUCUAACACACAAAUAGCCCAUAUUGUUACUGUCAAAAGUUUUAUGUUUAUACCAUUUUCCAUGUUGAACGAGUCCAUUAACCAAUAUCUAUGGUCUGAGUGCUUUGAGACAGGGGAUCUAAUGACAUGCAAAGAGUCCAGAACUUGUUCUGUAACUGGGCAAAACUGAAGGAGAUGGUCCACUGACUUAGUAUCCUCAAGGCACAUCAGACAAGCACUAGGAUUAAGGAGAUUUCUCUUAUUCAGAUUAGCAUAAAUAGGUAAAAAGUCAUUGUAAACUUUCCACAAAUGAAAUUUUAUUUUCUACGGAAGUUGUAACGCCCAUAGAGUAGAGAGAAAAAUUUGUACCAAGAGUUAUAGUAGGCUUGUUAGGAGUGUUCUGGUUGGAUAAAUUUCCAUGUAACAAUAACUUGUAUCCACUUUUGACUGUAAACUCCCCCGUACCUUCAACACACCAAAUUUCGAGAUCGGGUGGUUUCGUCUGGGCUAUGGGGAUGGAUAAAAUAACAUCUACUUGGUCAAAUUCAACAAUCUCAUGAACUACAUCUUCCUUUCGGUUACCUUGUUAUGGGUUAAUUAAAUCAGCAGCUUUAGUAAAUCUUGUAUUUAUGUGUUGACAUUUAACUCUGUCAUCUCUAGGUCCAGGGGUCAUUCCAAAUGUUCAUUGAUUCCCCGUCUCCAACCCGCCAACCACGAAUGCUUCUCCAGGUGAGAGAAGGGUAAGUUCCCAACCCAAUAGAUAGAAAAUCAGUUUUUGGAUAAUAACGCGCUUUAAAAAAUCUGGUAAGCAAACAAUUUGGUUGAGUCCAAAUACGCCAACUUUGCUUAGCCAACAAAGAUAAAUUAAACAUAGCAAAAUUGCAAAAACGUAAGCCCUCAAUGGAAUUUGGUGCACAUAAUUCUCUCCACGAACUCCAAUGAAUAUCCUUUAACAUUUUAUCAUUCCUCCACCAAAAUCGAUUAAGCACAUUUCUUUUUGCGUCUAACUAUCAUAGGUAAGUCGAGAUAUUUUUUGGAUUUGAUGACAAACGAACACUUAGAAUAGAGGUAGCUAUAUUUCUAUCGCAUUUAGCCACAUUUGACCCAAAAUAGAUCAAAAACUUGUCAUAAUUAACCAUUUUCCCCUAUGCUUUCUCAUAUGUCGAAAUAAUUCUAUAAAUGUUUUCAGCUCCCUCUUUUGAAGCAUCCUCGAAUAGUAAGCUGUCAUCCGCGAAAAAUAGAUGGUUAAUUGUCAAAGGACCUCUACCUAUUCGAACUCCCCUUACCAAAUCCCUCUCCUUAACAUCAUCCAAAAGUGUUUAAAAGCCUCUAGCACAUACCAAAAACAAGUACGUGCUAAGCGGAUCCCUUUGCCUAAGACCCCUUGUUGGCGUAAACCUAUCACUUAGACAUCCAUUGAAUCCCACUAUGUAAGAAACUGAAGCCACACAUCGCAUUAUCAAGGUCACCAAUCAGCAUGAAACCCCAAAUUGACCAUUAUUCCAACUAAAAAAUCCCACUUCACCCUAUCAUAAGCUUUGCUCAUGUCUAAUUUAAGGGCAAAGCUUUUUUUUCUACCCCAUCUUUUUGUUUUCAAAGUAUGCAGAAUCUCAUAAAUAACAAAAAUAUUAUAAAAAAUUUGUGUAUUCGGGAUAAAUGCACCUUGCGCCUUAUGGAUACAUACAUUCAAAAGCCCAUUAAUUCUAUUCACAAUGGUCUUAGAAAUAAUCUUAUAUAAGAAACUACAAAGACUAAUAGGUCUAAAUUGAGUAAUGGUUCUCGGAUUACUAAACUUAGGGAUCAAGACGAUAUGCGUGCUAUUAAUUUCCUCUACCACAACAUCACCUUGGAGAACAACAAGAAAAUAGGAAGAUACCUCUGGUCCCAAAAUAUGCCAAUAUCUCUUAUAGAACAAGGUAGGAAAUCCAUCAAGUCCAGAAGUUUUAAGGGGGGCCAUGCCUCUCACUGCCAAAUUUCCUCCUCUAUAAACGAUUUCAACAAUUCAACAUUCAUAUCAUGCGAAAUGCCUUGUUGUACUUUAUCAAAAGUGGCGCCCGCUUCUCCCUCCUUCAAUGCUGUGAAAAUAUCUUGAAAAUAAUUAGAAACAAUAGCCAUGACUCUAUUUUCAUCCUCAAUCCAUCUUUUUGCCUCAUCCUCAAGACCCUUAAUGGAGUUAUAACACUUCCUUCCUGUUGCUAAUUUAUAGAAAAACGUGGUGUUAUGAUCCCUAUGCUUUAGCCAAUUAAUAUGUGCCAUUUGUUCCUAAUACAAUUCCUCUUUGUCCACCUUAAGAUUUAGCUCUAACUGAAUAUUUAGCAAUUCCAAGAGCGUCUCAUUAGUUGGUUCAUCUGUUACUAACACAUGCAAGGCCUUGUGAUCUCGUUUCAGUUCAGAAUUCCAAUCCAUGAGUCGAUGACCCAAUCUGACUAGUUUCUUGGGUAAUUUUUCUGUAAUAGAGCCCUAGUAAUCUCGGAUCACAUUCUCACACUCACCCUCCAAACACCAAUCAGCAUCAAAUUUGAAUCUCCUCUGUCUUUCCCCAUUAUUUUAGAUAUCCAGAUUUUUACUUGACACUAAAAUCAAAUAGUGGUCAGAGAUUGAAUGUUAUAAGUGAUCAACCAAAAAAUCGGGAAACUGACACUACCACGCCGCAUUUGCUACACCCUGAUCCAGCUAUUCGCGAAUGUUUGUUAAUGCAAAUUUACCCCUCUCCCAAGUGUACCAUUUUUUAUUGUAACCCAAAUCAGUAAUAUCACAAUCGGCCAUUGUAGAAUGAAAAGCUUCUCUUUCUGCCUGAUUUCUACCACUCGAUUUUUCAAAAGAGAAAGUAACUUCGUUAAAAUCACCCAUCGUUAACCACUGUAAGUUUUGAUCCUGACCCAGCCUGCAAAGUAGAUUCUAAGUAGAGUCCUGUAAGUGUUCCUCCAGAUGGCCAUAAAUAUGCUGCCUCCACCCUAAAUAUGCUGCCUCCACCCUAAAUACAAACCACCUUUUCCAUCAAUUCCAACUUCUAUUCUAUUAUAAAAUCCACAUUUCCUACGAAUACUUUCCAUCUUCCUCGCACUUAAUUUUGUCUCCAUUAGAAACAAAAAAUGAGGAUGAACAACUCUCAAUUUAUUCUUGAGACGAUAAACUACCCGUGGAUUCUUCAUUCCAUGGACAUUCUAGCUUAGUAUUGUCAUAAUGUUCUGCUGCCCUUCCUAGCAAAGCCAACUGAUAAAUCAUCAAUGCCUUCGCACGCAUCUGUUACUAAAAUUGUUUGUUAUUGUUUCUUCCCAUCUUCUGGCUGAAUGGGGCUGUUUUCACCAUCAGAUCAAAGUCCAUAAGCUCAGUUACCAUAACCUUAUCCUCAUUCGGCCCAGUUCCAUCAUUAAAUCCCUUAUUAAAUCCAAAAAGAAUCUCAUCAUUAAUAUUUGGAUUCCUAUGAUUGAUAUAACCCCCUGAAUUAGACAUUGAGUACCUAAAGUUACGUACCAUUAAUUCCCUUUCCUGAUACCAACUCGUUUCGAAAUUAUUCGAGUUGUAUGUGUGUGCCCGAUCAUGAAUUUGAGUAAAGCUGAGUUUGUUUCAACAGAAUAGAUGAAAGGCUCCAAACAAAGGUUUUAAAAGGAAAAAGGUUUAACAGUGAAUGGAAAUAUCGGCUAAGGGUAGAGAAUGAACCAACAAUAAAGAUUAUUGACCCGAAUCUCAAAGUAGCUCUUAGGUGAAUGUCGGUUUAGGAAAAUUAGCAAAGAACCUUGACCCGCUAUCAAAUGUGAUAGGAACCAAAGGUAUAAUGAAUGCCACACCAAAGGUGAUAAGUUCGAUUUAGCAAAGGAAGGGAUGAGGCCACAAGAUAACUUGAUAAGUCAAUUCAGUCCCGAAAAGAAUAAGGAGAAGUGGAAAUCACACAAGUUUCAAUUUUAACAUAAAUUCAGCAAAAUUCCCUUAUAAUGAGCUGAUUACAAGUAUUUAUAAUGCUAAAUAAGGCCUAGCUGAAAAGUCACAAUUAUUUAGCUUAAAUGAGCUAAUAAUGAGUUGAAAUUAACUUAAUCAUUAAGCUCAAACUCUUGAAAUUUCAAGCCUAAGUAACAGCAACUUUAAUAUUCCAAUUCAGCUGAUUAAAUAAUCUUGAAUGCUUAGGUUUCAUUCUUGAGCAGCCAAAUAAUUUAGGAAGAGCUUUAAAUUAUCCCUUGCACAGCCAAAUAGACACCAUGGAGAAAAAGAAUAGGCUGCUGAAUUUAAAGGAUGUAUACUGCUUUCCUUUAAAUAAUGUAACAGCUCAUUUGAAUGAUGUAUAAUGCUCUCCUUGAAUUGAUGUAACAACCCCUGUAUGUAACAGAUUCCAACUGAAUAGUAACAAUUAACACUUUGUAACAACCCUUGUACUUAAUUGAUUCCAACUAAAUGGUCACCUGCAAACAUUUAUUAACAAACACAUUUAAACACACUAAACUUAAUAAGCAACUAAAUAGUCACCUGCAAGCAUUUAUUAACAAACACAUUAAAACACAUUAAAACACAUAUUAGACUUAAUAAGUUUAAUUAAUAAACUGUAAAUAAACACAUUUAACACUUAACUUAAUUUAAUAAACUAAAAAAACAUGCAACAAUAAAUUAUUCCAGCAACUAAAUUAACUAAGAUGAACUUAAUUAACUAAGAUGAGUAAUUUGUUCCAGGAACUUAAUUAACUAAAAUGAACUCAAUUAACUAAGAUGAGUAAUUUAUUCCAGCAACUAAAUACUUAUUCCAGCAAAUUAAAAAUGUGUUGAAGUUAAGCUAAAUGAGCUUGGGUUGAACUAGAUGAGCUUGAAGAAGCUAGAAUUGAGCUCAAUGAGCUGAAAUUAAGCUUCAUUUUGCACUUGGGCCCCUUGAGCUUAGGCCAAUUCUGAGGUCGUCGAGUUGUAUCGAAACAUGAUGCGGCCGGGAUAGCAUCAUUUCCUUAUCCGCAUAUCGAAAGUCCAUCCCAUCUGGCUGAUGCAACCAACGAUUGAUUCUCACCGGUCCUCCCUUUAUCGUGGCUCACAAAGUGGUAUCCCAACCAAACACUAUUUUGGACGGGUCAACACAAACCCUCACUGGACAAAAACUUUCCCCAUGUCCAAGCUUUCCAUAUAUAAAACAAAAGAGGCUAAGCUUCUCAUAUUGAAAGCGAGCAUAAUAUGGUUGAUCUCCCACCUGAAACCUUUCCCUCUAUUUAGGGGCCAAACUCACAUCCAAUCUCACUUUUAUUCUCAUAUACCAUUACAACCUUAAAGACAAAAUUCGCAUAUCAUAUUCCAUGAACACUCCAAAAUGUUUAGCCAUUGUUUCUAACAUAAGACCUGAGGGCAAAUCAUGGAUUUGAAUCCAAAAUACAACAUAAUUUAGCAAGACUGUGAGUGGAUCUUCUUUCAUUUGCCGUUUAUGUAAUAAUAAAUGGUUGUUAAAAAACCAUGGAACACCUUUUAAAACUUUGUUCAUAUCAACCGUAUGAAAGAACCUAAAUGAGUAAUGUUUCUCCCCUAUAUUAGUUAUAGUAAUACCUCCAAUAGGGUGCCAUAAAUCAGCCAUGGUAUUCCGAAAAGACGAAAAGUGGAGCACUCUAUUUGUUAAACAAGUUCCAACCAGUGAAAACUUUAUAUCUCGUUCCAUCUCUUUUGCAUCCUCCUGAAAAACAUCCUCUUCCUCAUUUGAAAGGUGAAGAUUUGCCAGAUCAUCCACCAUUAAAGCACCAAUCGAACCGAGAAUUAGAAAGACCGAAAGAGGAAUUGUAAGAAACCAUAAGAAAACUAAAAAGAACAAAAUUGUGUCAAUGAGGACAGAUUAAAACUGUGCUAGAGAGCAAAUUGUUCAAAAUUUAUACAUUAUAAAUUUAAAUUAACGUUAAAUUUUCACAACAAAAUUUGACGAGUGUUGAAACCACCAAAUAUAAAUUCCUACGACAAAAUAACACUAACUAGUAGUAGGGUUGAAUCCAUAGGGAUUGGUUGUCUACUUUCGCCUUUUCUCGUGAUCAAUAUUAUUUUCACAACAAUAGUCGUGCCCACGACUCGUGACAAACUUGCUGGGAAAAAUAAAAAGUAAGGGAAGAUAAAAAUGUUUAGAAAGUAAAUAAAGCAAAAUAGUAGCAAUAAACAAUUUAAUCAAAAAUAAAAUGAAAUAAGAAAAUGGAAUUGAAUUUCGUAAGUAGCAUAUAUAUUUAAGCUUAGCCUCAGCCUCACUAUACUCUGAACUCGAAUCGAUCCUUGAAAAAGGGAUUUUUCCUUUCCAAAUGAUAAGUUCGUUAUAGCGAUCAAGGACACCUCAACUGCCAACUUUUUCGUAUGUAGUCAGUUCUAGUACGACCUGCAAACUGACCUUUUUUGAAUUUUUAACCAUGUAAUUCGUGAAUGUAAUUUAAGAUUAUGACAGUUUUGCGAUUUAGAAAUCCAAACUCAAAUUAAUGGCCUCAACUGUGUGGGUCGUUUAAAUUCGAUCACUAUCUCCCUUGAUGAAAUCCAACCGGCCUUUUCCCACCUAGACACGCCAAUGUGUUCGCGGAAAUUCAAAUACAGCACAACCGACUUGACUUCCCAAAUAUACGCCAAAACAACUCCAACCCAACGUGCACUUUAUGUUGAAAUGGAAUUAACUUUAAGGGACGAAUUUAUACUAUCCCAUAUUCUAGAGAGAUAGUAAAAACCAUGUUGAAAAGUGCGGGUUCAUAUCUCACGAUUUUUUUAGUGGAGCGAUAAUUAGGCUAAAGCUAUAAUGGAAUUAGUUAAGCAUGAUAUUAACCAUGUUAGUUGGUGUAUGUAAAUGGAUUUAAUGGAAAUGGUAGAAGGUGGAAAAGGAAUGGACUUGGGAAGUAAUUAAGCCAAAAGUAAUAAAAAUGGAAAAGUGACAGAAUGCCUGUAUUGUUAAAAUGUAUGAAAGGAGAAAAAGAAAUAAAUUGCUUUUUGCAUUCAAUUUCCAAGUGUAUUUUUUAAAGGCCACCAACACCAAGUAUUUAUACACAUUCCUCAUGCUAAAUUUAGCAAGAUUUUUUCCUAAAAAUAUCAACUAAAAAUCAUAUUCAUAUAAUUUAUAGAAUUUUGACAAUUUCAAAAAUCUAAUUUUAACUAGUCAACCACUAAUUUUUCAAUUCUUCAAUUUGGCUCUCCUCUUUGCUUUUCAUUCCAAUUUAGCCCAUUUUGUUUGAUUUUGAAUUUCAACACUCCAAUUUUGUCCUUGAUAAGAUUGACACAAGUUUAGUAGCAUGCUAUUCGAAAAUUAGCCAAAAAUAAUUACAUUAAAAGCACAAAAUUAACUUGCUAUCAAACUUCAUUUAUGCCAUUUUGAUUAUUUCUAUUACAUUUAAAUUUUUGUCAAGAUAAAACCUUUGAAUAUUGUCAAAGGUUGCACGAUUACUUUGGUGCAUAGUUGCCUAUUCACAUCUCACUUAGAUGUAGUUAUAAUAUUUUGAUUAUUGAUGCAAAUUUUUAGAUAAACAGUAAUAAUAACUAGUUAGUAUUCUUGUGUGAUGCACGGUCAGUAGUCUAUAUUAAAUUUAUAAUAGUUUUUUAUAAUAUUAAAUUUUAAAAAAAUUAAUGAAUUUCAUAAAAAUCAUUAAUAAAUUGAAAAUGUAAUGCAAUUGCAAAGUAUUUUAAUAAUAUUUAAUAUUAGAAUAAUAUAAAAAUUUACCAUAAUUUGAAUAUUAAUAUUAAUAGAUAAUCAUUUAAAUAAUAAUAUUAAUAUAUUUUUACAGUUUAUUUAUUUUAUAUAAAUUGAUAAAUUAUUAUUUUUAAUGUUAAAAUUAUUAAUAUUGAGUUUUUUGUAUUUUUAUAUUUAUCUUUACUCUAAUAAUAAAAAAAAUAAAAAAUUUAAAAAAUUGUAAUAUAUAAAAUAAAUAAAAAAUUAAAAUAUAUAUUGAAUACACUAUUAUAAACAAAAAUAAUAGAUAAAAGAUGGAUAUGAGAAUAUGAAGAUUUCUAUUGCAUUCUAUAUUUUUCAUCAUAUUUACAAUUAGCAUACUUCUAUAUAUAUAUAUGGAGAUUAGACUCUUCUUAUUUUAAUUCAUAAAUAGAAAAGGGGUUACAAAAAGAUGAAAGGUUUAAGGAAGAUGAAAGGCUAAAAGUUAAAGAAGAUGGAAGGUGGAAGGUUAAGGGAGAUGAAAGGUGAAAGGUUGAACAUCCACUUAAUAGCAUUCAUAACACUCCCCCUUGGAUGCUAAUUUUAUAAAGGAUAUGCCUCAUUAAAAAUCUUACUAGGAAAAACUCUAUGGGACAAAAACCUAGUGAAGGAAAAAAGAGUACACAAUCUUUUGAUACACAGUAUGUCACAACCUUAAAAGAAAAUGUAGUGAGAAUUUACUCCCCCUCAUGUAGGCAUCACUUAAGAUCUUUGAAACGACACAAUCCAAUGUUGAAAAUUAACUUCUCAAAUUCUUACUUGAACGAAUCUAUUGAACAUUUAUAUCUCCAUUCUUUUGUAGAUCAUGAGUGAAGAAAAUUUUAGUGAUAUCUGUUUUGUUCUAUCACCCCUAAUCUAUCCAUCCUUUAAUCGUGCAAUACAAGUUGUAUUAUCUUCAAAUAAGACUAUUGGAGCUUCUUUUUUAGAGUAUAAACCACAGUCUUUUUGUAUGUGAUGAAUUACAGACCUUAGCCACACACAUUCACAACUAGCCUCCUGGAUUGCCAAAAUCUCAGUAUGAUUAGAAGAAGUAGCAGUAAUUGUUUGUUUCAUAGGACGAAAAGAAUCUUUAUUUACAUUAAGUGACCUAACAACCAUUGGGGUGCUCAACGGAUGUGCAUUAUGCAUGUAAAAUCUUCUUAGUACUUUUUCUAUAUAUGUUGUUUGAUGCACAAUGAUUACAUUAUUUAGGUGCUCAAUUUGUAACCCUAGACAAAAUAUUAUCUUUCUAAGGUUUUUCAUUUCAAAUUCUUUCUUUAAGCACUCAAUUGUCAUUAAAAUCUCUUCAGGAGUCCCUACGAUAUUUAAAUCAUCAACUUACACAGCAAUUAUAACAAAUCCUGAUCCAAACCACUUUAUUUAAAUGUAUGAGGAAAUGAGAUCGUUAUUAUAGCCUUCUCUCAAUAUGUACUCACUAAGGUGGUUAUACCACAUGCACCCAGAUUGUUUCAAUCCAUAAAGGGAUCUAUUUAAUUUGACUGAGUAAUGUUCUCGAGAACAUGAAUUUGCUACUUCUAACAAUUUAAAACCUUAUGGAGUUUCAUGUAAAUGCUAUUAUCAAGUGGGUCAUAUAAAUAAGCUGUAACUACAUCUAUUUGGCAUAAAUCAAGCAAUUCUCUUAUUGCCAGACUAAUCAAGAACCUAAUAGUUGCAUCAACCACAAGAGAGUAUGUCUUUUCAUAAUCAAUACUAGGCCUUUCUGAAAAUCCUUGUGCAACCAAAUGUGUUCUAUAUCUCACAAUUUCUCCUUUUUCAUUUCUCUUUCUCACAAAAACCCAUUUAUAUCCUACAGGUUUUACACCUUCAAGUGUACGAACUACAUGUCCGAAUACAUAUCUCUUCGCAAGAGAUUUUAACUCUGCCUCAAUUGUUUUUUUUUCCAUUUUGGCCAAUCAUCUCUUUGUCUACAUUCUUCAAUUGACAUUGGCUCAUGAUCCUGAUGUGAUCCGACUCCGUUGAUUGAUUUGAUUCACUUAAAAGUGUAUUGGUGUUGGUAGGUUCGGUUUGGAAUAGAAACAAGGUAAGAUAGAAAAGGUAAUUGAUGGAGAUUGAUAAUAGAACUUAAACGUCAAGAAAGUUUCAAUAAUAUGAUGAGUAUUGCCCCAAAUCUUAUAUGGUUUAAGGUGAAAAGAUGGAAACAGGAAUAUGAACCUCGACCCGUUACUUAGCAAAGUAAGAACUGAAGGCAUAUUGAAAUGGAUGAGCGCCACACCAGGAUUGGUGAUAAGUUCGGAAAGAGUUCGGUUGACACCACUAGCACGCUAGAUAAGCCAAAUCAAGACUCACACAAAAUAUGAGAGGGACAAUCCUCACAAGAACAAUAGUUCAUUCAGAAAUUUGACAAAAAAAAGUAAUUAAAAUGGGUUCAAAAGAUGGCUUGGUUUUGGAGAUGGAUAGGUUCGGUUUUAACAAAUAAAAUAACUUAUAAGUUAAUCGAUAAAAAUGGGAAGGAAUACAAACUCAAGCGUCAAGAUCGAUUCAAUACUAUGUAGAGUAUUGCCCCUAGACUUAUAUUGCUCAAGGUGGGUUAAAUAGUUUAUCGAAGACUUACCUUGACCUGUUACUUAUGAAGAAGUAAGAACCAAAGGUAUAAUAAUAUGGUUGAACGCCACACCGAUUCGGUGAUAAGUUCAAUGGAGUUCGGAUUGACGCCACUAGCAAGCUAGAUAAGUCACUUUGAGACUCGAACAAAAGAAGAGAUGAGGUAACCUCACAAGAACAAAAGUUCUAUUAAGUUUAGUUGAUCAAAUUCUGUAACCUUUUACAAUAAACAAGUAAACUAUUUAUAGGCAAAGACUAAGCUAGCCGAAUUGUCACAUACAAUCCUUAAAAAUUAAGCAAAUGAAUUCAAUUAAUUUAGCUAGCAAGAUUCGGCUGAAUGGGAGCUUCAAUGGUCAGCUUCUAGAAUGAGCAAUGGACUUGGAAGCUUGGAAAGAUGCAUGGCAGCAGCUAGGUUCGGUUAAUAGGCUUAAAUAAGCUAAAUUAGUUGGCAACGUUUGCUGAAAAGUGACCAGCAAUUAAAGGAGGUAAUGAGAAGCCAUUCAAGGUGUGAAAACUCAGCUUUGAAUAGUCAUUGAGUGUGAACACUAUGAACCGAACAGCCAAGAUGAAUCCAGCAAUGUGAAAGGAAUAAAUGGCAGCUUUGGAGUAGGAAACAUUAGCUCCCUCGGCCGAAUAGUCACAUAGGAAUGUUCAAAAUUCAACUCACCAAUUUGAUGACAUUUCAUGCAUGUAUCGCCAGGUACAUUGAACCCAACAUGCAUGCACCUUGCUUAAUGUAUUCCCACAUUCGGCCAACCUACACAAAGAUGAAUGAACUUAAUUAAUGCAAAAUUCAGCUAAACAUAAUUAAGAAUAUAACCUGGACAAAUUAAAAACACAUGAUUAAAACUAAACACACUUAGUUGAAAUAAGAUAAGACGAAUUAAAAGCAUGCAAUGACACAAACUUAUUUAUGAGCUGUAGUAAUUAGGAAAGGUACUUAAUAUCAUGCAAUAAACACAAAUUUAAUAAUGUUUGUCCAGAUUGGAACCAAUUAAAUACCGAAUAUAAAUUGAGCUAAAUAAAUUAACAUAUUAAUUUAUUUCAGCAACUAUGUAAUCGCAUAAAUGAAACUGAGCUGAAACAAAAAUUAUCGAGCUGAAAUUGAGCUAAUUCGAGCUCUUGGAGCUGGAAACGAGCUAAAUGGAGCUCAACGAGAUGGAAUUGAACUAAUUCAACUCGCAUGGGUUUGCAAGCAAUGCUUAGGGAGAUGGUCCAAAAGUGUGCCCGGGGCGUGGUCAUAUCAGAUCCACAUUGACAUUCAAAAUAUCUAGUGCUACAUUGCAUGCAAAUAUGUCAUCAACGUCGAUUUGAUUUUGGUUCCACUUAAUUCUUGACAUGACAUAAUUUGUUGAGAUCUCUUCAUUAUCAGGUACCUGAGAUUUUUCUUGAGCUUCAGUCAUGUCUAAAAUUUCUUCUGAAGAUUUUUUUAAAGUCAUUGCUUCCUCGAUCUGACCAUUAUCUGUUUUUGCUCCUUUUCUUUUUCAAUGAUUCUUAUCUCUAGAACCAAUUGGUCUACCAUGCUUCAAAUGUGCUUUAGACUCACUAGCAACUAGAGUUUGUCCUUCAGGGACACCUAUUUUGAUUGGAGCAUUUACAGCUGAUAUAUGUGAUUUUGUCACUCUUUUUAGAUCAAUAAAUGUGUCUGGCAAUGGAUUUGCUAAACUUUGCAAAUGAAUUAUCCUUUCAACCUCCAGUUCGCAUUGUUGCGUACGAUGAUCAAGAUGAGACAAUGAUAAUUCAUUCCAAUCUAUUUCUUUUUCCAACUGUUUAUUUUCUACCUUUAACGUUGGAAAAACUGACUCGUUAAAAUGACAAUUAGCAAAUUGAGCCGUAAAUAAAUUCCCUGUUGAUGGCUCGAGAUAUUUAAUUAUUGAUGGGGAUUCAUAUCCAAUAUAUAAUCCUAACCUCCUUUGAUGACCCAUUUUAGAGUGUUGUGGUGGAGCAAUCAAAACAUAUAUAGCACAUCCAAAAAUUCUCAGAUGGGAAAUAUUUGGUUCCUAACCAAAAACCAUUUGUAACGAGGAGAACUUAUGAUAACUUGUUGGCUUAAGUCAAAUUAGUGAUGCUGCAUGUAGUAUGGCAUGACCCUAAGCAAAAAUUGGAAGUUUUGACUUCAUAAGUAAUGGUCUUGCAAUCAAUUGAAGACAUUUGAUUAAUGAUUUAGCAAGAUUGUUUUGUGUAUGAACAUUUGCUACAGGAUGUUCAACAUUUAUUCCAAUAGACAUACAAAAAUUAUUGAAAGCUUGGGAAGUAAAUUCUCCAGCAUUGUCAAGACAAAUUGUCUUGAUAGGGAAAUCUAGAAAAUGUGCUCGUAAUUUGAUCAACUGAACAAGUAACCUUGCAAAUGGCAGGUUGCGAGUUUAUAACAAGGAUAUAUGUAACCAUCUAGUCGAAGCAUCGAGUAAAACCAUAAAAUAUCUAAAUGGUCCACACGAAGGGUUUAUUGGUCUACAUAUAUCUCCUUGUAUCCGUUCUAGAAAACUGAUAGAUUCAUAAUUUAUCUUGGCUGGUGAUGGUCGAAUGAUUAAAUUGUCUUGAAAGCAAGCAUCACAUGAAAAAUUAUUAGCUUGAAGAAUCUAUUAGUUCUUGAAUGAAUGUCCACAUGAAUUGUCAAUAAUUUUUCACAUCAUAAUUGAUCCAAGAUGGCCUAACCGGUCUUGCCAAAUAAUAAAUUCAUUAGUAAACUUCUGAUUUAUUAUAUCAUGUGCUUUAAUUAUACUAAUUCACAUGUAAUACAAACCAGAGGAGAGUGCAGACAAUUUCUCCAAAAUAUUUUUUAUUUCUUUGGAUUAUACUCGUAAUUUGAAGAUAUUCAUCAUAACCUUCACUUAUUAUCACAACAUGAUAUCAAUUAUGGCGAAUAUCUUUAAAACUCAAAAAAUUUCAUUGAGACUUAGGAGAGUAUAAUGCAUCAUUAAUUUGAAACUUAGUUCCUCUGGGCAAUAAUAUAUUUGCUCUUCCAGAGCCUUCUAUGAUUUUGGUACUACCGGACAUAGUACUCACACUAGCUUUUUACAUUAUCAAAUGAGAAAAUAUUUAUUAUUCUUAAGUAAUGUAUGAGUAAUUACACUAUUUUCUAAGCAUAAGUGUAAUAGUCCAUUUUGCCCGGCCCACUCAAAAGAAGACCAACCCAUAAACUAUUAACCUAAGCCCAAUGACAAUACAUCAAACCCAAACCCUAGCCCAACAUCAAAUUUUUAGAAACCCUAAAUUGGCCUCCCCUACACGCGCACCGCUCCCACGCACAGCAGCUCCCACGUACGCCUCCACGUUGACUGACCACGUACCUGCAAUACAGUAAACAAGGAAGCAAGCAGCAAAAAGAAAGGGACUAAUAGUGAAAUGGAAGGAAAGAAAUAUUAUUAUUAUUUGUUUUAUAUAUCUUUUCUUUCUUUCUUUUCUUUUCGUUUUGGCUAUAAAAAUCAAAUUAAAAUCAGUAAAUAGGAAGAGACAUAGAUAGACAUUAAAAUAAAAGAAAAAUCGAAGUUUAAAGGUGAAUCGCGUCUAUUAUUGUCUAUUUUUUGUUUUUGUGUUUCAUUUUUUUAUAUAUACAUAAACUACAGUAAUGGGAGGGGGAGGUAUUACCUCCCAAGAUUCGCCGUCGAAACCGCAUUCACCUCGCUCAAAUCGGAGCUUGACGGAGCGCCGAGGUUUGGUUGGAGCUAAGAACGGCGGCAGGGAAAUAGCAAAACCCUAGCAGAGGGUUACUCUGUUGCUUUGAAUUAAAGGGGAAAAAUGAUGUUUUUAGAAAAAAAUUUGGUUUUAUAACGGCUGCGAAAGGACGUCGUUUGAGGCUUGCUUCAGUGGCCUCCAAACGACGUCGUAUAGGGCCGAACCCGAUGACCCGACCGAGAAACACUAGAUCCGCGUGUUUUUCUUGUUAAUGGGAAAUUUGCGCGUUUGGUCCCCCGUUUUUUUGUUUGAUUUUAAUGCAGUAUUUCAUGUCUUUUAAAUUUAGCCAUUUUUUUUCUUUAUGUUUUAAUUUGGUCCAUAGAUCAUGUGCAUACGCCCACUGGAACGGUGCCAUUUGACCAGCAUGAGAAUAUUUCCCUUUGGGUCCUCCUCUUGUUACGCGCAUUGGGAUUUGGUCCCUUGUUUUUUUAAUUCUGACCCCCGAUCUUCAUUUAUUUUCAAUCAGAUCCCUAAUCUAACACUUUAAAUUUUUUAGUAUGUUAAUACUGUUAGUACUCUUAUUAUUAUUAUUAUUAUUAUUAUUAUUAUUAUUAUUAUUAUUAUAACCAUGUACUUCUUCAACUACACGCAUAUACUUUAUAUGUUAUAUAUGUAUACAUACAUAUUUUAUAGUACACAUAUAUUUCCCAUAUUUUAUAAUUCAAAAUAUACAUUCAUUUUUUAUAGUAUAUAUAUAUACACUUUUUUUUAUUUCUAAAUUAUUAUAAAUAUUUUUUAUUAUUCUAUAUAUUCCAUUAUUUUAUAUACAUAUUGUACAUAUAUACAAGUAUUUAAAUAUAUACAUAUACGUAUUUUCAUGAUUUAUCUAUAUAUAUACUUAUAUUUUUUUUAUUUUGUAAAUACAUACACCUAUACAUACUUUUAUAUUUUUUUUAUCUUACUUUCAUAAUUUUCACAUACAUAUAUAUAUACACAUUUUUUAGAAAUUAUUAUCAGUUUUUUUGUUUUAUAUAUUUCAUUCCUUUUCUUUUUUAUAUGUAUGCUUAUAUGUGUGUUUUUAAUAUAUGCAUACAUAUGUUUUCACAUUUUUACAUUGUACUUAUACAUAUAUAUAUACAAAUUUUGUAAAUACAUACACAUAUAUAAUUUAAAUUAAAGUAUUUGUUUCAUGUUGUUCAUUAACAUUUUAUCAUACUUUUAAAGAAAAUAUAUUUGGUUUCAUCAAAGCAUUGAAACCAUUCUUGUUCAAAGGCUUUCAAGAUCAUGUAAUAUUCGAUAUUUGGGAUUUUCGAGAAAAUUGAGUCCUAACGUAUUGGGUUCCAAUUUUCCUUGUUAACCCUAAAUAAUCGAGAAUAUUUUUUCAAAAUGCAUAAAUAAAAAUCAUUUUCGGGAAUUCAACAUGUUGUAUCCUAAUGUAUUGGGUAUGACAUUUUUUUCUUGAGAUGAAAUUUUUCCUAGAAAAAAGGUAAUAUUCAAAGUUUGAGAAUUUUGAGAAAUUGUACUCCAACGUAUUGAGUCUCGAUUUCUUCAUCUAACUUAAACAAUCGAAUAUUCCCUAAAUAAGAGGAUUUUAAUAUGUAAUUUGAUUUAUACAAGUUUUUUUUAAAUACAAUGAUUAUAUUUUAAAAAAGCUUUUCAAACUUUUGACAUUAAGAUAUUAAAUAAUCAAUUCGGUACCGAUUUUGGGCGUUAUGAGGGUGCUAACCCUUCCUUGUGCGUAACUGAGUCCCGAACCUAUUUUCUCAGAAUUCGCAGACCAAAAUAGUUUUUAAGGUGAGUCGAUCACACCUCAAUAAAGGAUCUGUGGCAACUCUAUUUUUUUUAUUUUUUUUAAAGUCGACAACUAAAUUUUUGUUCUCAUAAAAAAUGGUUUCGACAGCUUGGCGACUCCACUGGGGACAUUUUAGAGAGUCGAGCCAUAAAUUAAUUAAUUUUUGUCUUUUUGUCGAAAAAAAUCAAAAUUUGUUUUAAAUCAUGAUUUCCCCUUUUUCACUCAUUGGUUUUCCUCAUGAUAUGCCUUCUUAAUUGGUCUAAAUCCGUUAGUUUAUUUGCAUUUUUCAUUUCAUGGUCAAUUUUACCCCUCUAAGUGGGAGUGAGAAACUAGUCCUUCAUGAGGUUUUCACCUCCGUGCAGGAUAGUGGAUCACUUUCGGGAUACAUUCGUACCUAUUUUUUCGUGAUUUUCAUCUCCGUGUAGCCAUAGGGAAAUGUAUCCCCCUGAACUAAACUCUGUCUGUAUGAGCCUAUAAUGGGUGAGGAUCGAAGAAUCUGCUGGUUCGGGUACCUUUGCCCUAGAAGCCAAACCUCAUAUAGUGAACUUUAGGAACUUACCCUAGGUAGAAUUAUACCGAACCCUAGUAGCUACCCGAGUAGGUUUUUUAUUAUUUUCUAUUUGUUUUUUAUACCUAAUACUGGCUUGUUGUGUUUUGUUUUGACUGCAUGGCAUCAUGAUUGCAUUGCAUUUUCAUCUUAGAAAAGAGGUGUUUAUUCAAGUUUGAUUGCUAAAUAGAGAGCUUGUCAUGAAAAACGGAUUUUGUGAUAAAGUGGAAGAUAAUACGGUUGCUUGAAUAUAUUCCAAGAAACACAGUAAAAGAAGGGUGAUAGAGGAGUACAUGUCUUUACUUCAUGGCCUGAAGAUUCAAGCUAAUUAUUCGAGAGCUGUCGACAUUCCAACUUCCUUAAAGAAAAUGAUAAGCAUUACGAGGAUGAACGAGUAUUAAGAUCAAGCAAAAAGGAGGUAGGGGAGACACCCCUUUUUGAAGAAUUCGCAAAAUCUAUCUUAGCAUCCGGAUGAAGAAAGAGAAGAUGUCUUUGCCUGGUGUAUGAUGGCAAAGCUGUAUAUAUGUAUCUGCUUUAUGUAAAGAAAUUUGUCUUCUAGUAAAGUUUUCUAAACUGGAUUGAAUAAGAAUCAAUGUCUCUUUUUGCAUUCAUUUCAUGCAUUGCAUCAUAUGCAUUAAAAACUAUUAAAGGGCCUAAUUAAUCAAAAUCAUUCCUCAGUUCAUCUGGAAUCUAACCAGCCAAUUCAACAUCGUUACAGUCCACGGGCGAAAUAAAAAAAUAUGUACCAAAGAUUGGAAAAGCUCGAGCAAUUCCAAAAAGAAAUGCAGGAUCAGCUUCAGCAGCAAAUGAAUGAGCAGCUCGAGAAAAUUCAGCAGAAUAUGAUAGACAAAAUCAUGGAAUCUCAAGGGAAUAUGAUGACUCAGUUAACUCAACUGUUGACUAGGGGAAAAGAAAAGGGAAAAUGCCCUAUGGCUAAUGUUGAAGAGGGAGGCGAUGAUGGACCUCUUUAUCCUCCAGGCUUUACUCCUCCACGUGUGCAAGCCCGAGCUGAAGUAUACUCAUGCAAAUCUUCUGUCACCAUUAGGCCUCAGCAGUUUCAAACUGAUGCUUCAAGGUCAAUGAAUUUCCAAGUUGGAUCAGGCUCUAGCCCUAAGAAUAAUCCUGUCAAUCCUGUUAUUCCCGAUUUUGGUGAGGUGUUUGAAAAAUAAAAAACAAAAGAGGAAUUACCAAAGCAACUAGAGGAAAGGUGGAAAUGGAUUGAAGAGAAGUUCAGAGCAAUGGAGAGCACUGACAACUAUCGUGGGAUUGAUGCAAAGGAUCUGAGUUUGGUCCCAAAUUUGGCGAAUGACUGGGUAUGUCAACAAUGACCAAUUAUUAAUACAUUGCUUCCAAGAUAGCCUUACAGGGGCAGCGUCUAAAUGGUACAAUCCAUUGAGCCGUACCAGGAUUAGUUCCUGGAGAGAUUUGGCACAGGCUUUUAUGAAGCAGUACAGUCAUGUAGCAGAUAUGGUUCCUGAUAGAAUCACCUUACAGAAAUUGGAAAAGAAAUCGAAUGAAAGCUUUAGGCAGUACGCACAGAGGUGAAGGGAGAUCGCCGUCCAAGUUCAGCCACCGCUCUUGGAAAGAGAAAUGAUAAUGCUCUUUAUAAAUACAUUGAAAGCCCCGUUCAUCACACAUAUGUUAGGAAGUGCUACAAAAAGCUUUUUUGACAUAGUUAUGAAUGGUGAAAUGAUUGAAAGUGCCAUAAGGAGCGGAAAGAUUGAUGCUGGAGGAAAUAACAGAAGACAAGCCUCAAAGGAAAAAGAAAAUGAGGUGAACAGCGUGAAUACGUAUAGCAAAUCGAUUACGGUGAAUCAACCAAGAAAAGUGGUUGCUAAUCAGCAGGGUUCAUCAAGACAAGAAUCAGGUGUGAAGCAAGGCACUGAGAAGCUCCAGUUCACGCCAAUUCCAAUGUCGUAUAAGGAGAUGUAUCAAAGCUUGUUUGAUGCACAUGUUGUUUCCCCUUUUCGUGCAAAGCCUCUAUAACCUCCGUAUCCCAAGUGGUAUGAUGCGAACGCACAAUGUGACUACCAUGCGGGAACUACGGGGCACUCAAUAGAGAAUUGCAUUACCUUCAAAAAGCUAGUUGAAAAACUCAUCAUCAUGGGUGUUGUCAAGUUUGAUGACUCAUCUAGUGCAGAAAAUCCGCUACCCAAUCAUGAUUGACAAUGGGGUGAAUGCAAUAUAUGAAGAGGUGUUGGGAAGUGUUCACAUCAGUGACAUAUACGAAGAAACAACUGAAGAAGGGACAUUGUCAGAUAUUCGCCCUUAUAAACCUUGGAGUGUUCUAAAUAAUUGGACUGCAGAAGAAACCCCUAUAGUAUUUAGAGCUUACUCAGAGUAAUAUUCAGAACACACUUGUUGCUUUUAGCCUAGAGGCAAUAAGAACUCUUUUGUGAAAUAGGCUCAUGUCUGAACGUUAUUAUUCUAAUAAAAUACAUCUUUACAUUCAUUUUUGAGCAAAUAUUCUUUCAUUCUUUUUGAAUAAUUAUUCUUUCAUUCUUUUGAACUCUCUUCCACAUCAUUCUUUCAUUCAUAAUCAUAUUGUACAUAAAUUCAUAUAUUCUUUGGUACCUACUAUGGGUCCCCAGAUAUCAAUGACAUGAGUGACACUGCUACAGACUCGAAAUUUUCUUUUGAGCAAGGCAUGUGUUUAGAUGGAUCUCAUGACUUUGAAAAUGACAUAGACUUGUUGAGGAUGGUAGAGCAGGAAGGAAAUUUUACCUUAUGAGGAGACAAUGGAGAUUGUGAACAUGCAUAACUGGAGAAACAAAGCAGAACCUUGUUGAGUUACAUCAAUAGCUCAAAGACGUCUUCACGUGGUCAUACUAGGAUAUGCCCAGGUUAAUCACUGACAUUGUAAUCUGAACAACAACACGAUAUCAAAAAUUUGUAGUAUGUUCAAUAUUAACAUCAUGAACGAUACAGUGAAAUUUUUUACCGGGACAACGCCUUUCUGUUUGACUUAUCAUAGUUUUGCCAAUUGAGAUCGAGUUUCUAUCUCUCCGAAUUUUGGUUGGAUUUCAUCCUAAUUGAAGAGGAAGAUCCAAAGUUUUUCGUCAUAGUUAAAUUUUUCCCCAAAAGGCUCUAUGAAAGAAAUUUGAUCACAAAGAAGAUCUUACGCAUACAAGAUGAAAGUGGAAGAUCUUAUGUGGAAGACUUUAUCUAGAAAAACAUUGGUUCUGAUCGAAAGGGAUAAUGAGGGCUUGCCUAAUCUUAUGAGUUCAGAUUCAAAAAAAAGGGGUCAAAAUCAAAAUAAAAAUAAAAGUGAUAAAAAAGAAAAAGAAAAAGAAAAAGAAAAUAAAAAUGGAGAGGCCUAGGUGAAAACCCGCAAAGGGCACCUUAAGACCAAAGGGGAUUUGAGUUGAAAACCCAAAAAGGGUGACUCAAAUGUUGAUCAGAAUGGGGUAUGAGGUGAUCAGAACAACUCGAAUUUUAACCAGAUUGGGGCAUGUGGUGAUCAUGUUAUACCUAAAUCAUCAGGAAAGGGUACGCAACAUCUGGGGGCAUUGGUAGAGUACUAUAGAUCUCCUAAACACAUGUCAAACUCAGAAGGGUCUUCAGAAAGUUUGUACAGAGAAGUUCAAGCAGCGAUAUCUGGGGCACCCAAUAUUCAUACUAUUUAUACUGAAUUUGUUAUUCUUGGAACACUUCAUUCGUUUCCAAGUACACAUUCCCAAUUAAUUUCUUUGUUAUCCUUCUUUACUAUCUUUGAUAAUUUAUUCAUUUUGAGCUAUGUUCAGAACUAGCUCUAUUUUGUCCAUCAUUUUGUUCUUUUUGCAAGCGUGUUGCAUUAGAAUAACGAUUAAUGGACUAAUAAAACUUUCACAAGGGAAGUUUUGCAUAUUACUCUAGAAGUUUCUAAAUAAUACAAGAGCCUGAAACAUGAUUAUUAUUUAGAACGCACUAGGUUUAAAGGUUGGAAAUCUGAAAAGGAAGAGUCUAAAUUAGGACUUUCUCUUUGGAUUUUGUUGUCAAAAACAUUGAUUGAACAAAAUGACAAGAUGUCGUGUUGAUGUCAGAGCUUAAAUAAACAAGCAAGCAAUGAUCACCAGGCAAUAGGAAGAGGUUUCCUCGGAGAAGAAAGCUUUUAUUUGUGCAUGAGCUUUUGGUACGACACUCGGGGAAUGGUGUAAGGGACCAGAGAGAUUUAGAUCCUGUAUCCUUGAAUUGUGAUAGAAGAGGAUUGAGAAAAAGCCAUAUAUUUCUACCCUCGAGUUGCAGUGGAAGAAUGAUGGUACAAAAUUUAUGUCCCAGUGGAUUAAACUUUGAGGUUUACAGUGGGGCAAUUUGACUAAGUGUCUUGUUGAAAAUGCCAACCGAGCAGGAAGGCAUUGUAGCAUGUCAGUGAUAAAGCCUUAAUAAACUUCGAGCAAUGAUAACUUAAGAAGGAUCAUUCUAAAAAAAAAGCAUUCUACAUUCAUGCAAACACCAUUCUAAUCUUCAGCAUAAUUGGAUUCAUUAUAAAAUUUCAUGUUUCUCGAAGAAUAGAUCGGUGAAAUCAAAGCUAUGCCUCCCUAGGUUAUAGUAGGGCAGGUUAAAAAUAACAGAUCUUGCCUUCCUGUACUGACAACGAAGUAGAUCGAAGAUUGUGAAUCCUAUCUCCAUGGACAGCAGUGGAAUAGGUUGAAGAUUGCAAGUCCUAUCUCCUUGGACAGCAGUGGAAUAGGUUGAAGAUUGUAAGCCCUAUCUCCCUGGACAGCAGUGGAAUAAGUUGAAGAUUGUAAGCCUUGCCUCCCUGGGUUGCAGUGGAGUAGGCUGAAAACACCAGAUCUUACCUUCCUGUAUUGGCAACGAAGCAGAUCGAAGACACCAACCUUGUUUCCUUGACGUUAUAGCGGAGCAGAUUAAAGCUGAGGGCAGCAAAUCUUAUCUCCCUGGCGUUAAGACUUGGAAUAGCUGAAGUGAAGAGGAUUGAAGUUGUGGGCAGUGAAUCCUAUCUCUUUGGCAAUACAGAUGAAAAGAUUGAAGCUACAACAGCGAAUCUUACUUCCCAGGUGGUGCAGUGGAACAGAUUGAAGCCACAAAGGCGAAUCUUGCUUCCCCGACAUUGCAGUUAAAAAGAUUGAAGCUACAACAGCGAAUCUUACUUCCCUGGCUGUGCAAUGGAAUAGAUUGAAGCUACGACAGUGAAUAUUGUUUCCCCAAUAUUACAGUUAAAAAAAUUGAAGAAAAUAAUCCUAUCUCCCUAAGGUUGCAGUGGAGUGGAUUAAAACCAAAGAUCUUAUCUCUCUGAAGUUGCAGAGAGCAGAUUGCAUACAGUCUUGUCUCCCUGAAGUUGCAGUGGAGCAGACAAAAGAAACAAUCCUAUCUCCCUAAAGUUGCAGUGGAGUGGAUUAAAACCACAGAUCUUAUCUCUCUGAAGUUGCAGUAGAGCAGAUCGUAUCCAGUCUUAUCUCCCUGAAGUUACAGUGGAGCAGAUAGAAGAAACCAAUCCUAUCUUCCUGAAGUUGCAGUGGAGCAGAUUAAACAGAUCUUAUCUCUCUGAAGUUGCAGUAGAGCAGAUCGUAUCCAGUCUUAUCUCCCUGAAGUGGUAGUGGAGCAGACAGAAGAAACCAAUCCUAUCUCCCUGAAGUUGCAGUAGAGUGGAUUAAACAGAUCUUAUCUCUCUAAAGUUGCAGUAGAGCAGAUCCUAUCCAGUCUUAUCUCCCUGAAGUUGCAGUGGCGCAGACAGAAGAAACCAAUCCUAUCUCCCUGAAGUUACAGUGGAGCAGAUUGAAAAGAUCUUAUCUAUCUGAAGUUGCAGUAGAGCAGAUCACAUCCAGUCUUAUCUCCCUGAAGUUGCAGUGGAGCAAAUUAAAACCACAUAUAUUAUCUUGCUAAAGUUACAGUAGAGCAGAUCGCAUCCAGUCUUAUCUCCCCGAAGUUGCAGUGGAGCAGACAGAAGAAACCAAUCCUAUCUCCCUGAAGCUGCAGUGGAGCGGAUUAAAGCCAUAGAUCUUAUCUCUCUGAAGUUGCAGAGAGUAGAUCGCAUCAGACUUAUCUUUAAAAUUGUAGCAGAACAAGGUUGAAGUUACAAGUCUUAUCUUUAUGAAGUUGCAGUGGAGCAGACUAAAGAUAACAAAUUUUGUUCUUUUGAGAAGUUACAAGUGGAGUGGGUCGAAGCAUCAAUACCUUCGAAGAUGUAGUAGGUUGAAAUGGGGCUACUUGAAGAGAAAGAGCUCCAAGAUUUAACACGACCGGACAAAAUUGACCAUUUCUAAAGUCUUUGCUAUGUUCUCGUUGCACGUCAACAAGCAAAGAGGGGCAACUGUAAUAGUCUAUUUUGCCCAGCCCACUCAAAACAAAACCAACCCAUAAACUAUUAACCUAAGCCCAAUGACAAUACAUCAGACCCAAACCCUAGCCCAAAAUCAAAAUUUCAAAAACCCUAAACUGGCCUCCCCUAUACGUGCGCCGCUCCCACGCACAGCAGCUCCCACGUAUGCCUCCACGUUGACUGGCCACGUACCUGCAAUACAGCAAACAAGGAAGCAAGCAGCGAAAACAAAAGGGACUAAUAGCGAAAUGGAAGGAAAGAAAUAUUAUUAUUAUUAUUUGUUUUAUAUAUCUUUUCUUUCUUCCUUCCUUUUCUUUUUUUUUAGGCUAUAAAAAGCCAAUUAAAAUCUGUAAACAGGGGGAGACACAGACAGACAUUAAAAUAAAAGAAAAACCGAAGUUUAAAGGUGAAUCGCGUCUAUUAUUGUCUAUUUAUACAAGUUUUUUUUAAAUACAAUGAUCAUAUUUUCAAAAAUCUUUUCAAACUUUUGACAUUAAGACAUUAAAUAAUCAUUUCGGUAUCGAUUUUGGGCAUUACGAGGGUGCUAACCCUUCCUCGUGUGUAACUGACUCCCGAACCUGUUUUCUCAAAAUUCGCAGACCAAAAUAGUUUUUAAGGUGAGCCGAUCACACCUCAAUAAAGGAUCGGUGGCGACUCCAUUUUUUUUGUUUUUUUUAAAGUCGACAACUAAAUUUUUGUUCUCAUAAAAAAUGGUUUCGAUAAUAAGUCUUCACCAUUUAUCGCUAAUUGAAUUUGAAAGGUAUUUAUAUUCUUCAAAGAAAACAAAUAAAUGUCACAUCGAUUUUCAAAAUAUAUAAAAUUUUCAUAAAUAGUUUGAAACAUAAUAUAAUAACCAUGUUGUUAAUAACAUAACAAACUUGCUUAAAAUUUAUUCUUUAAAACUAUAAUAAUAAAAUUAAAAGAUCAAUUAUUCCCUUCAGGGGUGGUGAAGAAAUUAGCCACUUCCAAAUGAGUUGUACUAGCGAUACCAUAAUCAUCUGUCAUUAUCACAAAAAAAAUUAUCUUUAUUUUCUUCCCUUUAUCCUUUAAUGAUUGUUGAUAUAAUUCCACAAGAUGAUUUUGUGUAUGACAAGUAUGGGACCAAUGGUUUUUACCUCCACAAUGAUAGUGCAAACUUUCCACUUUCUUAGUUGUAUUUUUAUCAUUCUUUCCAUCCUUAUGAUCCCACUUCUGGUGAGUAUUCCUGAAAUUACCUCCUCGUUCACGUCCAUGACCACGACUAUGGCCACAGCCAUGUCCUCGACCAUGACUGCUAGUGUGGCUUUUAUCCUUUCCGUUAUAUGAUAUCACAUUUGCUUCAGGGAAUAGAGUAGAGCCAGUUGGACGUGACUCAUGAUUUUUCAUUAACAGUUUAUUAUUUUGCUUAGCCACAAGAAGACAAGAUAUUAACUCAGAAUAUUUCUUAAAACCUUUUUCAUGAUAUUGUGUCCGCAUGACAACAUUAUUUGCGUGAAAUCUGGAGUAUUUUUUUUAACAGAUUCUCACCAGUUAUGUUCUCUCCACAUAAUUUCAAUUGGGAAGUGAUUCUAAGCAUAGUCGAGUUAUAUUCACUCACAGAUUUAAAAUCUUGUAAUCUCAAAUGCAACCAAUCAUAGUGAGCUUCAGGAAGUAUUAUGGUUUUCUGGUGGUCAUAUCUUUCUUUUAAACUAUUUCAAAGGACAAGUGGAUCUUUAACAGCCAAAUAUUCAGUCUUUGGUCCCUCAUGGAGGUGAUGGCGAAGAAAUAUUAUAGCUUUGGCCUUAUCUUGACUAGAUGUUUUAUUUCCUUCAUUAAUAGUUUCACUAAGGCUUUUUGCAUAAGUGUAUUUCAGCAUCUAAUAUCCAAGAUAAAUAGUUUUUUCCAGUAAUAUCAAAAGCAAAAAAUUCAAGUUUUGCAAGGUUCGACAUUGAUGAUAUAGCUACAAAAUAAAUUUAAUAUAAAUAUUAACAAAUUUUCAAGCAAAUAUAAGUAAUCACUUAACAAAAAUUUCAAGCAUAACAUAACAAGAAAAAAAACUCAAAUAAUUACAACAAUUUAGUCAUAAAAUGAAUUACAAGUAAUUUGACUAUGUUAGAAGGUUUUAACAAAUUACGGGAUUAGUGGAAUCCUUAAAAAAAUGAAACAAGUUAUAAACGUAAGUAAUUUUAUCAUGAUGGACAUCAUGAUAAAAUGUAUUACAUGCCUUGAUCCAAACUAACGAAAAAUGCAAGGCUCUUGGAUUAUUUUGAGCAUUCGUACUGAUAACGUAUUAUAAAAAAAAUAGAUAAAAGAUGAAUAUGAGAAUAUGAAGAUUUCUAUUGCAUUCUAUAUUUCUCAUCAUAUUUACAAAUAGCAUACUUCUCUCUCUAUAUAUAUAGGGAGGUUAGACUCUUCAUAUUUUAAUACAUAAAUAGAAAAGGGGUUACAAGAAUAUGAAAGGUUUAAGGAAGAUGAAAGAUUAAAAGUUAAAAAAGAUAAAAGAUGAAAGGUGAAAGGUUGACCAUCCGCUUAAUAGCAUUUAUAACAUUCACAAUUUUUUUAGGAUUGUAAUCUGAAUGAAGAUGUGAUUCAAAUACAUCAAUUUUUUAAGUUGUUAAAUAUGCACGAAUAUAUUAAUUUAUAGUGAGAAGAAUAAAAUUAAGGAAUUUUGCAUUUAUUAAUGAAAAAUAUUUAUGCAUUGAUUACGUUGAUUAUAAAAUCUUAAAUAUUUGUUUCCUUAAAAUAUUUCUCUAUUAUAGUAAUUUAACUAGUAUUAUGCAGGGGAAUAAUGUCUAUAUGUUUAAAAUAUUUUUUUCUUUUUACUAAUUCUAUCAAUCUUUUUUUGUGGUAAUUUUAUUCCUUAAUUUCGCCAUUUUUAAUAUUGUUUUUAUAAUUAAUUUGCAUUUGAUUAGUAUUAACAAAGGGCAUUGAUUACCUUAAUUGCACAGUAAAAAAUAUAUUUUUUCAAUAAUUUUAUUUUUAAUAACUAAUUGCACUGUUUUAUAAUAAAGGGAAUUUGACAUUAACAAAAAUGUAUAAUUGCACCAAUCAUGCAGUUGCUAAAGGGCAUUGACAAAAGAUGUAAAUUUUUGUAUGAUACCACUUAUUAUUGUAUAGUAUGUUAUUAAAUACAAUUAAAAUGUAAUUUAGUCAAUUCAUUUUUUUAUUAAGUAAUGUAUAAAAAUUAUUUAAAAAAUUAAUGUAUAAAGAUUACCAUGUAAAGUCUACUAAUUGGAAUUUAGGGUUUACAAAUACCUAAAAUAAAGUGGGUUACCAUUAAAACAUUUAAUUAAGAAUUCCAUAAAUUACGUUUAAUAUAUAUAUAUAUAUUGUAUUUCUAUAUUUGUAUUUAUUUUAAUUUAUAACGACAAAUGGCAAGAAUUUAAGUAUGCGAUUAUAAAUUGACCCAAAAAUGGAAAUAAACACUUCUAGGUAAGUUAGAUUUUUUCCAAGUCCCAUGUAGAAAUUAACAAAUUAAUUACCGUAUGUGUGAAAAGUAACAAAUUUUAAGUAAUGCGGGAANNNNNNNNNNNNNNNNNNNNNNNNNNNNNNNNNNNNNNNNNNNNNNNNNNNNNNNNNNNNNNNNNNNNNNNNNNNNNNNNNNNNNNNNNNNNNNNNNNNNUAUUAAUUAUUUAAAAAAUAAAUUUAUAGAUAAUAUCAAAACUAACAAUUUUUAAAUAAUGUGAUAAGUAUUUAAUUUCGAAAAAUUUAGUGAUUAAAUAAAAAAAUUAAUAGUUAGGUGAUUAAAAUAAAAUAAAAAGUAUUGUUGGCUGGCAUUUUUAUAGUUUACCCAUAAAAUAAUAAUUUUCAACAUAAGAAAAUCAUAUCAUAUCAUUGAUAUUAUUUUUAUAGAUAAGAUAAUCAGUUCUUGUACCUAAAUUAUUAAUUUAUUUAUAUUAAAAGAAUUUAUUCAAAUCAAAUUUAAAUAAAAAUUACAAAUAAAUUAUCCUUUGAUCAUUAACAACUUUAAUACUCAUUGCUUUGCUUUGAAUUAGUAUAUACUUAAAACUCUCUGUAAACCCAAGGUAAGGUUAUCUUAACCAUUCUGACUUUCGCCCACAAUGGAUUAUUAUAAUCUAAACUUGGGAAAAUGAGAAAGAAGAAAUAGAAAUGUCAAUCAAAAUAGCUGAAUCGCCUUCACCCCAUCUUCAAACUAAGAAGAAGAAAGCUUUGAUCGUGAUUGAUGCCUUCCUUCAACCUCAUUUCCUCUGUGCUUUUGUUUUUUUACAUCUUUGAUCUCGCAGCCGAAGCCAACCCAAGUUUCUUAUACAAGUUCUGUUAUGACAAAGAUACCACUUCCACAACAAACAGCACUUAUGGGACCAAUCUCAAUCUCCUCCUCUCUU
rnacentral:lncRNA from 1 species